rnacentral:tRNA from 1 species
GGGGGAGUGCUGGAAUUGGCAGACAGGCGUGACUUAGAAUCACGUGCCCUUGGGCGUGUGGGUUCAAAUCCCACCUUCCCCA